GUAAUUCGUCUCACGAGUAUAAUUUUUACAUGCAAAAUAAAACUUCCUCGUUGAUAGACUUUAUAAAUUGGUACUGCAAUAACUUUUACAAUUCACUAACCCUUUAAUCACUUGACUGUGUUUUUGUCCGAUCAAUCUUAGAUUAUAACUCAGUAAUUUGGUCUCCCUAUUCUAUCGGUCCUAACCAGUCUCUUAAGACAAUUCAAAAUCGCUUUCUAAAACAAGUAAU